rnacentral:sRNA from 1 species
AAGCCCUUACAGGUCACCUUGAGGAGGUUGUUUUAGCUCUGCUAAAAACUCCAGCACAAUUUGAUGCUGAUGAACUUCGUGCUGCCAUGAAGGGCCUUGGAACUGAUGAAGAUACUCUAAUUGAGAUUUUGGCAUCAAGAACUAACAAAGAAAUCAGAGACAUUAACAGGGUCUACAGAGAGGAACUGAAGAGAGAUCUGGCCAAAGACAUAACCUCAGACACAUCUGGAGAUUUUCGGAACGCUUUGCUUUCUCUUGCUAAGGGUGACCGAUCUGAGGACUUUGGUGUGAAUGAAGACUUGGCUGAUUCAGAUGCCAGGGCCUUGUAUGAAGCAGGAGAAAGGAGAAAGGGGACAGACGUAAACGUGUUCAAUACCAUCCUUACCACCAGAAGCUAUCCACAACUUCGCAGAGGUAACAAUAAAUUUCUUUUUCUGGAAUCUGUUUAUGGAAGAUGCAAUUUUCUUUUUUGAUGACAAAUAAGAGAAAGUAAAAACAGAACCCUUUUUCAAUAUCACUCCUGUAUCAAACAGAUAUAGUGUUCCUGACACAUUGUUAUUUGUCAAUUUGUCCAAUUUUGUACAGCUGCUACUUUAUAAUAUUUAAUACAUUUUGUGACUUGGGCAUGUGGAACAUAAUUUUGUUAUUUUCACUGCUUUUACUCCCCUAAAAGAUUUGGAAUAUGUGUGGGAAAAGACAUGCAUAACAGAACAAAUGAAAUUAGAAUGAAGAAAAACAAAAAAAA